AAGUCGUAACAAGGUUUCCGUAGGUGAACCUGCGGAAGGAUCAUUACCGAGUUCAUGCCCUCACGGGUAGAUCUCCCACCCUCUGUAUACCAUACCUUUGUUGCUUUGGCGGGCCGCCUAGCUACUGGCUUCGGCUGGUAAGUGCCCGCCAGAGGACCCAAAACCCUGAAUAUUAGUGUCGUCUGAGUAAAAUUUUAAUAUUUAAAACUUUCAACAACGGAUCUCUUGGCUCUG
rnacentral:misc_RNA from 1 species